AUGCACGCUGGCGGCGUGCCUAAUACCUGCAAGUCGCGCGCACAGACGAGGAGCUUGCUCCUCUGACGUUAGCGGCGGACGGGUGAGUAACACGUGGAUAACCUACCUAUAAGACUGGGAUAACUUCGGGAAACCGGAGCUAAUACCGGAUAAUAUAUUGAACCGCAUGGUUCAAUAGUGAAAGACGGUUUUGCUGUCACUUAUAGAUGGAUCCGCGCCGCAUUAGCUAGUUGGUAAGGUAACGGCUUACCAAGGCAACGAUGCGUAGCCGACCUGAGAGGGUGAUCGGCCACACUGGAACUGAGACACGGUCCAGACUCCUACGGGAGGCAGCAGUAGGGAAUCUUCCGCAAUGGGCGAAAGCCUGACGGAGCAACGCCGCGUGAGUGAUGAAGGUCUUCGGAUCGUAAAACUCUGUUAUUAGGGAAGAACAAAUGUGUAAGUAACUAUGCACGUCUUGACGGUACCUAAUCAGAAAGCCACGGCUAACUACGUG
rnacentral:rRNA from 1 species